UACGAAGGGGGCUAGCGUUGCUCGGAAUCACUGGGCGUAAAGCGCACGUAGGCGGAUUGUUAAGUCAGGGGUGAAAUCCCAGAGCUCAACUCUGGAACUGCCUUUGAUACUGGCGAUCUUGAGUCCGGAAGAGGUGAGUGGAACUCCGAGUGUAGAGGUGAAAUUCGUAGAUAUUAGGAAGAACACCAGUGGCGAAGGCGCUCACUGGCCCGGUACUGACGCUGAGGCGCGAAAGCCAGGGGAGCGAACGGG
rnacentral:rRNA from 1 species